rnacentral:rRNA from 1 species
AUUGAACGCUGGCGGCAUGCCUUACACAUGCAAGUCGAACGGCAGCGCGGGGCAACCUGGCGGCGAGUGGCGAACGGGUGAGUAAUAUAUCGGAACGUACCCUGGAGUGGGGGAUAACGUAGCGAAAGUUACGCUAAUACCGCAUACGAUCUAAGGAUGAAAGUGGGGGAUUCGCAAGAACCUCAUGCUCCUGGAGCGGCCGAUAUCUGAUUAGCUAGUUGGUAGGGUAAAAGCCUACCAAGGCAUCGAUCAGUAGCUGGUCUGAGAGGACGACCAGCCACACUGGAACUGAGACACGGUCCAGACUCCUACGGGAGGCAGCAGUGGGGAAUUUUGGACAAUGGGCGCAAGCCUGAUCCAGCAAUGCCGCGUGAGUGAAGAAGGCCUUCGGGUUGUAAAGCUCUUUUGUCAGGGAAGAAACGGGUCUUUCUAAUACAGAGGCCUAAUGACGGUACCUGAAGAAUAAGCACCGGCUAACUACGUGC